UACGAAGGGGGCUAGCGUUGCUCGGAAUGACUGGGCGUAAAGGGCGCGUAGGCGGAUGGCUUUGUCGGGCGUGAAAUUCCAGGGCUUAACCUUGGGGCUGCGUUCGAGACGGGUUGUCUUGAGUGGGGAAGAGGGUCGUGGAAUUCCCAGUGUAGAGGUGAAAUUCGUAGAUAUUGGGAAGAACACCGGUGGCGAAGGCGGCGACCUGGUCCUUUACUGACGCUGAUGCACGAAAGCUAGGGGAGCAAACAGG
rnacentral:rRNA from 1 species